rnacentral:rRNA from 1 species
GAUGAACGCUAGCGGCAGGCCUAAUACAUGCAAGUCGAACGAUAUUUUCCAGCUUGCUGGGAGAGAAAGUGGCGCACGGGUGCGUAACGCGUAUGCAACCUACCUUUAUCAGGGGGAUAGCCCGGAGAAAUCCGGAUUAAUACCGCAUAAAAUCACAGAACGGCAUUGUUCAAUGAUCAAACAUUUAUGGGAUAAAGAUGGGCAUGCGUGUCAUUAGCUAGUUGGCGGGGUAACGGCCCACCAAGGCGACGAUGACUAGGGGAUCUGAGAGGAUGGCCCCCCAAACUGGUACUGAGACACGGACCAGACUCCUACGGGAGGCAGCAGUAAGGAAUAUUGGUCAAUGGAGGCAACUCUGAACCAGCCAUGCCGCGUGCAGGAAGACUGCCCUAUGGGUUGUAAACUGCUUUUAUCCGGGAAUAAACCUCCGAUCGUGAUCGGAGCUGAAUGUACCGGAAGAAUAAGGAUCGGCUAACUCCGUGCCAGCAGCCGCCGCCG